rnacentral:misc_RNA from 1 species
UUCAUAAUGUAAGUCAUUCUAGCAUUUCCCAUAUUCAUAUCAAUGUUAAUGAAUCUAGACAUAUAUAUCUAUCUAGAUUCAUUAUCAUUGAUAUGAAUUGUAGAAAAUAAUAGAAUGGCUUACAUUGUGA